rnacentral:lncRNA from 1 species
CGAUUGAUGCGGUACUCUAUCGGAUCUCCUUAAAGAUAUUUCUAUAAUAUAUUUUAGAUUUGAUCUAAUCAAGUCCGACUCUAUGGGUUUACUAGAUUGUGUCAGUUCUUCUACUGAUCGAACUUCAUCAUGUUCAAUCUUUGAGAUAUUAGUUCUUUCUUCAAGAAAUUUUUUUUUAAAAAGACUGCCCUAUUGCUGACGAACACCUUCUGUUCAUCAGCAAGGUAGAAGUAAUACCCCUUGAUCUUUUUUGGGUACCCUACAAAUAGACACUUGUUAGACCUAGAUUCAAGCUUAUUAGUUUUCAAACAUUUGACAUAAGCUGGAUAUCUCCAAACUCUAAGAUGAGAGAGUACUGACUUGCACCCUGUCCAUAUCUCAUGUGGUGUUUUAAUUA